UACGGAGGGUGCAAGCGUUAUCCGGAAUCACUGGGUUUAAAGGGUGCGUAGGCGGUCUAAUAAGUCAGUCGUGAAAUCGCUGGGCUCAACCCAUGCAAUUGCGAUUGAUACUGCUAGACUUGAAUGGGGUUGAGGCUGGCGGAAUGCGACAUGUAGCGGUGAAAUGCUUAGAUAUGUCGCAGAACACCGAUUGCGAAGGCAGCCAGCUGGGCCUUUAUUGACGCUGAGGCACGAAAGCGUGGGGAGCAAACAGG
rnacentral:rRNA from 1 species